GACGAACCGUGCAAACGUUAUUCGGAAUCACUGGGCUUAAAGCGCGUGUAGGCGGGACGGCACGUCGGUCGCUGAAAGCCCCCGGCUCAACCGGGGAAUGGGCGCCGAUACGACCGUCCUGGAGGAACGUAGGGGGACCUGGAACUUCCGGUGGAGCGGUGAAAUGCGUUGAGAUCGGAAGGAACGCCCGUGGCGAAAGCGAGGUCCUGGACGUUUUCUGACGCUGAGACGCGAAAGCCAGGGUAGCGAACGGG
rnacentral:rRNA from 1 species